rnacentral:rRNA from 1 species
CCUACGGGAGACAGCAGUGAGGAAUAUUGGUCAAUGGGCGCUAGCCUGAACCAGCCAAGUAGCGUGAAGGAUGACUGCCCUAUGGGUUGUAAACUUCUUUUAUAUGGGAAUAAAGUGCAGUAUGUAUACUGCUUUGCAUGUACCUUAUGAAUAAGGAUCGGCUAACUCCGUGCCAGCAGCCGCGGUAAUACGGAGGGUCCGAGCGUUAUCCGGAUUUAUUGGGUUUAAAGGGAGCGUAGGCGGGUGGUUAAGUCAGUUGUGAAAGUUUGCGGCUCAACCGUAAAAUUGCAGUUGAUACUGGCAGCCUUGAGUACAGUAGAGGUAGGCGGAAUUCGUGGUGUAGCGGUGAAAUGCUUAGAUAUCACGAAGAACUCCGAUUGCGAAGGCAGCCUGCUGGACUGUAACUGACGCUGAUGCUCGAAAGUGUGGGUAUCAAACAGGAUUAGAUACCCUUGUAGUC